rnacentral:rRNA from 1 species
AAUGAACGCCGGCGGCAUGCCUAACACAUGCAAGUCGAGCGAGAAAGUUCCUUCGGGGAUGAGUAAAGCGGCGGACGGGUGAGUAACACGUGAGAAUCUACCCUUUAGUGGAGAAUACCUUCGAGAAAUUGAAGUUAAUACUGCAUAUACCCUUCGGGGAAAAGGUGGCUUUUAUGCUGUCGCUAGAGGAUGAGCUUGCGGACUAUUAGUUUGUUGGUGGGGUAAAGGCCUACCAAGACUACGAUGGUUAGCCGGCCUGAGAGGGUGUACGGUCACAUUGGAACUGAGACACGGUCCAGACUCCUACGGGAGGCAGCAGUGGGGAAUAUUGCGCAAUGGGCGAAAGCCUGACGCAGCAAUGUCGCGUGGAGGAUGAAGGUUUUCGGAUCGUAAACUCCUGUUAGGUGGGAAGAAAACUUCACUUUUAAUAGAAGUGAGGUAUGACGGUACCACCAGAGAAAGCACUGGCUAACUUCGUGCCAGCAGCCGCGGUAAUACGAGGAGUGCAAGCGUUAUUCGGAUUUAUUGGGCGUAAAGGGUGUGUAGACGGUGUAUUAAGUCUGUUGUUAAAUCUUUCGGCUUAACCGAGGGGCUGCAAUGGAAACUGAUAUACUAGAGGGUGACAGAGAGAAGUGGAAUUCCCGGAGUAGCGGUAAAAUGCGUGGAUCUCGGGAGGAACACCAAUGGCGAAGGCAGCUUCUUGGGUCACUACUGACGUUGAAACACGAAAGCGUGGGGAGCAAACAGGAUUAGAUACCCUGGUAGUCCACGCCGUAAACGAUGAUCACUAGACGUUAGCCUGGCUUGCUGGGUUAGUGUCGAAGCUAACGCGUUAAGUGAUUCGCCUGGGGAGUACGGUCGCAAGACUAAAACUUAAAGGAAUUGACGGGGGUCCGCACAAGCGGUGGAACAUGUGGUUUAAUUCGAUAUUACGCGAGGAACCUUACCUGGACUUGACAUAUACAUGACCGUCAUGGAAACAUGAUUUUUCAAACUUUGUUUGAACGCGUAUACAGGUGUUGCAUGGCUGUCGUCAGCUCGUGUCGUGAGAUGUUGGGUUAAGUCCUUUAACGAGCGCAACCCUUGCUGUCAGUUGCUACCUAUCCUUGAGAUAGAGCACUCUGACGGGACUGCCUGGGAAACCAGGAGGAAGGUGGGGAUGACGUCAAGUCAUCAUGGCCCUUAUGUCCAGGGCUACACACGUGUUACAAUGGUCGGUACAACGGGUAGCGAACCCGCAAGGGGAAGCCAAUCCUUCAAAGCCGAUCUAAGUUCGGAUUGGGGUCUGCAAUUCGACCCCAUGAAGUUGAAAUCGCUAGUAAUCGCGUAUCAGAGCGACGCGGUGAAUACGUUCUCGGGCCUUGUACACACCGCCCGUCACACCAUGAGAGCUGUUUGUGCCCGAAGAUGUCUUAGCUGACCCGAAAGGGAGGCGGACAUUUAAGGUACAGGUAGUGAUUGGGGUG